rnacentral:rRNA from 1 species
GAUGAACGCUGGCGGCGUGCCUAAUACAUGCAAGUCGAGCGAAGCGGGGACGGGUGAGUAACACGUGGAUAACCUCCUAUAAGACUGGGAUAACUUCGGGAAACCGGAGCUAAACCGGAUACUUAAACAUGGAUCCGCGCUGCAUUAGCUAGUUGGUAAGGUAACGGCUUACCAAGGCAACGAUGCAUAGCCGACCUGAUAGGGUGAGCGGCCACACGGGAACGAAGCGACGGUCCAUACUCCUACGGAAGGCAGCAGUAGGGAAUCUUCCGCAAUGGGCAAAAGCCUAACGGGGCAACGCGGCGUGAGUGAUGAAGGUCUUCGGAUCGUAAAACUCUUUUAUUAGGGAAGCGGUACCUAAUCAGAAAGCCACGGCUAACUACGUGCCAGCAGCCGCGGUAAUUC